AGUGAACGCUGGCGGUAGGCCUAACACAUGCAAGUCGAACGGCAGCACAGUAAGAGCUUGCUCUUACGGGUGGCGAGUGGCGGACGGGUGAGGAAUACAUCGGAAUCUACUUUUUCGUGGGGGGUAACGUAGGGAAACUUACGCUAAUACCGCAUACGACCUACGGGUGAAAGCAGGGGAUCUUCGGACCUUGCGCGAUUGAAUGAGCCGAUGUCGGAUUAGCUAGUUGGCGGGGUAAAGGCCCACCAAGGCGACGAUCCGUAGCUGGUCUGAGAGGAUGAUCAGCCACACUGGAACUGAGACACGGUCCAGACUCCUACGGGAGGCAGCAGCGGGGAAUAUUGGACAAUGGGCGCAAGCCUGAUCCAGCCAUACCGCGUGGGUGAAGAAGGCCUUCGGGUUGUAAAGCCCUUUUGUUGGGAAAGAAAAGCAGCAGGUUAAUACCCCGCUGUUCUGACGGUACCCAAAGAAUAAGCACCGGCUAACUUCGUG
rnacentral:rRNA from 1 species